GAACGCUGGCGGCGUGCCUAAUACCUGCAAGUCGAGCGAACGGACGAGAAGCUUGCUUCUCUGAUGUUAGCGGCGGACGGGUGAGUAACACGUGGAUAACCUACCUAUAAGACUGGGAUAACUUCGGGAAACCGGAGCUAAUACCGGAUGAUAUUUUGAACCGCAUGGUUCAACAGUGAAAGACGGUCUUGCUGUCACUUAUAGAUGGAUCCGCGCUGCAUUAGCUAGUUGGUAAGGUAACGGCUUACCAAGGCAACGAUGCAUAGCCGACCUGAGAGGGUGAUCGGCCACACUGGAACUGAGACACGGUCCAGACUCCUACGGGAGGCAGCAGUAGGGAAUCUUCCGCAAUGGGCGAAAGCCUGACGGAGCAACGCCGCGUGAGUGAUGAAGGUCUUCGGAUCGUAAAACUCUGUUAUUAGGGAAGAACAUAUGUGUAAGUAACUGUGCACAUCUUGACGGUACCUAAUCAGAAAGCCACGGCUAACUACGUG
rnacentral:rRNA from 1 species